rnacentral:rRNA from 1 species
AGCAGUCGCCGCGGUAAUACGUAGGGUGCAAGCGUUAAUCGGAAUUACUGGGCGUAAAGCGUGCGCAGGCGGUUAUAUAAGACAGAUGUGAAAUCCCCGGGCUCAACCUGGGAACUGCAUUUGUGACUGUAUAGCUAGAGUACGGCAGAGGGGGAUGGAAUUCCGCGUGUAGCAGUGAAAUGCGUAGAUAUGCGGAGGAACACCGAUGGCGAAGGCAAUCCCCUGGGCCUGUACUGACGCUCAUGCACUAAAGCGUGGGGAGCAAACAGGAUUAGAUACCCCGGUAGUCCCUGUCUCUUAUAC